GUUAUUAACUUCUGGGAGGGCCGUGAAAUUGGCUAAACAGUCCAUCCCUAAAUCUAAAUUCUUUUUUUAAUACUUAUACAUUUAUGAUGGCCCCGGUAACUUGUGCAUUUUAUUUGGCAAGGCUGAUCUCAAUUUUAUUGAAGGAAAAACAUAUAGCUAAGUGAACUACAGAUCUGCAGAUUCAAGACUAAUUCGAAAUUUAAUGUCACAACUAUAUCAUGGGAACUAUACUUAUAACUGUGAUAAUUUAAUUACGUGCAUAAAGCAAACUACGACACUUGAAAGUUGCUUAAUUCGUAUGUGAAACACGGUUUUACAAUUAUUGGAAGGAUAUAAAUAAAUCACUAAAAACCAAUUAUGUUAGUCAAAUUAUCAGCUGCCGGUACGCAACAAAGAAAACACGAAACAAACAGAUGAAAUUAAGACCCAUACUCAUGCAACUCAAGACAGAAGCUACUGGGCUAUUCCUUUGCACUAAAAGAGAAGCUGUUUAACUAUACUGAUGAGCUCGAUCGAACAGAGAUAAAAUGAACUGGAAAUCUACGUCAAAAGAAAAACACAGAAUUUCCUAGAAGAAAAUUUGGUGAAUCAAGUAAAACACCAAAAGCCAAUACCACGUUUAUCACAAUUAUUAUAUUAUAGCAAAUCCAAACCUCCACAUGGAAUACAACAUUAAUGACAUAAAUAGACACACUCGAUAGUUAAACUAAAGAACACAUAAAAGAAAUAUGACAGAGAAAACAGGUAGCUGUUAUGAUUUCUUCAAAACUUAAUUACAUUUUUUCAGAUUCACGCUUCAUACAUCAGUUAAGAGCCAAGGAAAUACCUGGAAAUGAUAGUGAAUGAGGGUAAGAUUCAGCAGUAGCAACAGUAGGGUUCAACAGUAAAACAAACCAAGAGAAUCCAGUUUUUAGUCAAAUUCAACCAAGUAGACCGACCAAAUGAUACUUAGUAAUCAAAAUACAAGCGGAACUUGAACCAAUCACUUGAAAACCAACCAAUUCAAAUCAUUUUUAACCUCCAAAUUAUGUCAGAACCUUAAAGAAGCAGAAAAUUUAAACAGAUUAAUGAACUUGUAUUUUUGUAGUAUUUUCAGAACCUCUCUCCUCUUUCAAGAAUGUCCUAAGCUCUCACUUGUCUCUCUGUUGAAAUCUUUUCUCUCUAUAUUUUUUACUUAACCGAUUUUUUCUGCUUCUAAUGUGGAAUGACCCUUCCUUUUAUCUAAACAAGACCUACUUUCAUUAUUAUUCCUACCCUUUCUUUUUAUUAUUACCCUUCACCUUUUCAGUUUCUAUAUUCCCUCUCCUAUGUAUAUUCUCUUUGCUUUUUAUCAUUACUUAACUAUUCCUAAUUCUAAUUAAGUAAAAGUAGUCAAACAAUUAUCAUUUUGAAUGGCCCCCCUACUAUCAUUUGUCCAUUAACUUAUUCAAUUCCUUUUCUUAGUGCACAUUUGAGCCCCCUUAAAUCACUCCCAUUAUUCAAUAAUUUAAAGAUAUUUAAUAUUUCACUAUCAGAUUUACUAAUAUUAAACCAUUCCUUAUCUUUUCAAUUCCGAAAUUCCUUCCGAAAUCCAUUAAUAUUACUACCCAGGUCCAAUCUGCUUAUUCUUAAAAGCUAAUUAAAACUUGAUUCUAAUUAACAGCUGUUACCAAUCAUCAAAAGAACUAAAUUUAAAUCAAAAUCAGACUUAUUGCAACAUACUGAUUAACAGAAUUAUUAAAACUGAAACUGAAACUAGACCUAAAUCUAAAUCUCAUGGAUAUUGAAAUCAAAUUUUAACACAACUCUAAAUUGAAUCCUAUACAAAAGGGCAUGAAUAUUGACAAUGACCUGAAAGCUUAACUGCCUAAAAUUAGUAUAUAAAACAUUCGAUAAAUUAUUUGACGAUAUUUAUGCAGUCAAUUAUACAAACUAUAACCGGUAUUAAUUAACACCAAACAAAAACAGAAACAGAAAUAAAUAGAAGAGGUGACCUGACAGAAAACUAUGAAUUCACAGAAACUAAUUAAUCGACGAGUCUAUUUAGACGAUUGCCUAUAACAAUUGACAAGAAACAAUUUGACCAAAUAAAAGGUCAUUUAAGAUGAGAAGAAUUUAAUUGAAAGAAUAAAAAUCAAAUAAACCAAACUAAAACAACAAACAGAUGCUAAUACCAUAGAAGAAUAAAAGAAAGGUAAUUGUUACCUUUACGAACUCGAACUCAGACAGACCCGAACUCAGCUCGGACUUGACCAUUUCUUGAGGUCAGACAGACUUUAAUUGAAGCGUUCUCAAUUCAGAAUACCUCAGUUAAGGUCCAUUAGAUCUCAAUCCCUCUUUAAUCGGACCGAUUCCAUGGUUUGAGUUUUUAUGGUUCUUGUGGGUCUGAUUUGGGGCUUAAUUGGAACUGGGAAGAUUCGACCCAAACCAAAGAUGGUUUGGGCAUGAGGGAGGUCGUGGCGUGCUAGGGUAUGAAGUUGGGGUUGAUUGGCAUGGGUUACGUUUGGCUCGAAUAUUGUAAUGAAUAUUCAAGAAGCUUUGAGUUGAUUCGAGCCAAACGGUUGGUGGAUCCAUGUUGGGGAUGGUUGGAAGGUCACAUGGUGUUAGUUUGGUCGCCAUUGAAGACGGGGCCGCCUUGUUUUAGGUGAAGGAAUCCUAGGGCGGCUAGGGUUUGGGCUUGGGUCUCUCUAUGAACAAGAGAGACGAUGAAUAGUGAGAAAGGGGGGGGGGCUGGUUUGGGGGUAUGCGGUGAAGGGUGAGGUUAUAUAGUUGGAGUGGUGGUUUGAUCUCAACUGUUCGAUCUGACGAGACCAAUGGCCCAGAUCAAUUCAUUUAACGCGACGACGUCGUUUGGCUCACCUGUGAGACUGGGUCGGUCUCAAUUGAUGAUGGGUCGGGUUAUGGGGUGAUGUCUUGGACCGUUAGAUGAGGA
rnacentral:lncRNA from 1 species